CCUACGUGUGGCAGCAGUGAGGAAUAUUGGUCAAUGGGCUUACGCCUGAACCAGCCAAUUCGCGUGAGGGAAGACUGCCCUAUGGGUUGUAAACCUCUUUUGUCAGGGAGCAACGCCGGCUACGUGUAGCCGGACUGAGAGUCCCGGAAGAAAAAGAAUCCGCUAACUCCGAGCAAGCAGCAGCGGUAAUACGGAGGAUGCGAGCGUUAUCCGGAUUUAUUGGGUUUAAAGGGUGCGUAGGCGGAAUGCCAAGUCCGCGGUAAAAUCGCGGGGCUCAACCUCGCUCCGCCGUUGAAACUGGCGUUCUUGAGUGGGCGAGAAGUAUGCGGAAUGCGUGGUGUAGCGGUGAAAUGCAUAGAGAUCACGCAGAACUCCGAUUGCGAAGGCAGCAUACCGGCGCCCAACUGACGCUGAAGCACGAAAGCGUGGGUAUCGAACAGGAUUAGAUACCCGGGUAGUC
rnacentral:rRNA from 1 species